GGUCAAGUGAAGAAGCGCAUACGGUGGAUGCCUUGGCAGUCAGAGGCGAUGAAAGACGUGGUAGCCUGCGAAAAGCUUCGGGGAGUCGGCAAACAGACUGUGAUCCGGAGAUGUCUGAAUGGGGGAACCCAGCCAUCAUAAGAUGGUUAUCUUACACUGAAUACAUAGGUGUAAGAGGCGAACCAGGGGAACUGAAACAUCUAAGUACCCUGAGGAAAAGAAAUCAACCGAGAUUCCCUUAGUAGUGGCGAGCGAACGGGGACCAGCCCUUAAGUUGUAUUGAGAUUAGCGGAACGCUCUGGAAAGUGCGGCCAUAGUGGGUGAUAGCCCUGUACGCGAAAAUCCCUUUGCAAUGAAAUCGAGUAGGACGGGGCACGAGAAACCUUGUCUGAAUAUGGGGGGACCAUCCUCCAAGGCUAAAUACUACUGACUGACCGAUAGUGAACCAGUACCGUGAGGGAAAGGCGAAAAGAACCGCGGAGAGCGGAGUGAAAUAGAUCCUGAAACCGUAUGCGUACAAGCAGUGGGAGCCCACUUUGUUGGGUGACUGCGUACCUUUUGUAUAAUGGGUCAGCGACUUAUUUUCAGUGGCGAGCUUAACCGAAUAGGGGAGGCGUAGCGAAAGCGAGUCUUAAUAGGGCGUCUAGUCGCUGGGAAUAGACCCGAAACCGGGCGAUCUAUCCAUGGGCAGGUUGAAGGUUGGGUAACACUAACUGGAGGACCGAACCGACUACCGUUGAAAAGUUAGCGGAUGACCUGUGGAUCGGAGUGAAAGGCUAAUCAAGCUCGGAGAUAGCUGGUUCUCCUCGAAAGCUAUUUAGGUAGCGCCUCAUGUAUCACUGUAGGGGGUAGAGCACUGUUUCGGCUAGGGGGUCAUCCCGACUUACCAAACCGAUGCAAACUCCGAAUACCUACAAGUGCCGAGCAUGGGAGACACACGGCGGGUGCUAACGUCCGUCGUGAAAAGGGAAACAACCCAGACCGUCAGCUAAGGUCCCAAAGUCAUGGUUAAGUGGGAAACGAUGUGGGAAGGCUUAGACAGCUAGGAGGUUGGCUUAGAAGCAGCCACCCUUUAAAGAAAGCGUAAUAGCUCACUAGUCGAGUCGGCCUGCGCGGAAGAUGUAACGGGGCUCAAACCAUGCACCGAAGCUACGGGUAUCAUCUUUUGAUGAUGCGGUAGAGGAGCGUUCUGUAAGCCUGUGAAGGUGAGUUGAGAAGCUUGCUGGAGGUAUCAGAAGUGCGAAUGCUGACAUGAGUAACGACAAUGGGUGUGAAAAACACCCACGCCGAAAGACCAAGGUUUCCUGCGCAACGUUAAUCGACGCAGGGUUAGUCGGUCCCUAAGGCGAGGCUGAAAAGCGUAGUCGAUGGAAAACAGGUUAAUAUUCCUGUACUUCUGGUUAUUGCGAUGGAGGGACGGAGAAGGCUAGGCCAGCCUGGCGUUGGUAGUCCAGGUUUAAGGUGGUAGGCUGAGAUCUUAGGUAAAUCCGGGAUCUUAAGGCCGAGAGCUGAUGACGAGUGUUCUUUUAGAACAUGAAGUGGUUGAUGCCAUGCUUCCAAGAAAAGCUUCUAAGCUUCAGGUAACCAGGAACCGUACCCCAAACCGACACAGGUGGUUGGGUAGAGAAUACCAAGGCGCUUGAGAGAACUCGGGUGAAGGAACUAGGCAAAAUGGCACCGUAACUUCGGGAGAAGGUGCGCCGGUGAGGGUGAAGCAUUUACUGCGUAAGCCCACGCCGGUCGAAGAUACCAGGCCGCUGCGACUGUUUAUUAAAAACACAGCACUCUGCAAACACGAAAGUGGACGUAUAGGGUGUGACGCCUGCCCGGUGCCGGAAGGUUAAUUGAUGGGGUUAGCGCAAGCGAAGCUCUUGAUCGAAGCCCCGGUAAACGGCGGCCGUAACUAUAACGGUCCUAAGGUAGCGAAAUUCCUUGUCGGGUAAGUUCCGACCUGCACGAAUGGCGUAACGAUGGCGGCGCUGUCUCCACCCGAGACUCAGUGAAAUUGAAAUCGCUGUGAAGAUGCAGUGUAUCCGCGGCUAGACGGAAAGACCCCGUGAACCUUUACUAUAGCUUUGCACUGGACUUUGAAUUUGCUUGUGUAGGAUAGGUGGGAGGCUUUGAAGCGUGGACGCCAGUCUGCGUGGAGCCAACCUUGAAAUACCACCCUGGCAACUUUGAGGUUCUAACUCAGGUCCGUUAUCCGGAUCGAGGACAGUGUAUGGUGGGUAGUUUGACUGGGGCGGUCUCCUCCUAAAGAGUAACGGAGGAGUACGAAGGUGCGCUCAGACCGGUCGGAAAUCGGUCGUAGAGUAUAAAGGCAAAAGCGCGCUUGACUGCGAGACAGACACGUCGAGCAGGUACGAAAGUAGGUCUUAGUGAUCCGGUGGUUCUGUAUGGAAGGGCCAUCGCUCAACGGAUAAAAGGUACUCCGGGGAUAACAGGCUGAUACCGCCCAAGAGUUCAUAUCGACGGCGGUGUUUGGCACCUCGAUGUCGGCUCAUCACAUCCUGGGGCUGAAGCCGGUCCCAAGGGUAUGGCUGUUCGCCAUUUAAAGUGGUACGCGAGCUGGGUUUAGAACGUCGUGAGACAGUUCGGUCCCUAUCUGCCGUGGACGUUUGAGAUUUGAGAGGGGCUGCUCCUAGUACGAGAGGACCGGAGUGGACGAACCUCUGGUGUUCCGGUUGUCACGCCAGUGGCAUUGCCGGGUAGCUAUGUUCGGAAAAGAUAACCGCUGAAAGCAUCUAAGCGGGAAACUUGCCUCAAGAUGAGAUCUCACUGGAACCUUGAGUUCCCUGAAGGGCCGUCGAAGACUACGACGUUGAUAGGUUGGGUGUGUAAGCGCUGUGAGGCGUUGAGCUAACCAAUACUAAUUGCCCGUGAGGCUUGACCAU
rnacentral:rRNA from 1 species